GAUGAACGCUGGCGGCGUGCCUAAUACAUGCAAGUCGAGCGAACGGACGAGAAGCUUGCUUUUCUGAUGUUAGCGGCGGACGGGUGAGUAACACGUGGAUAACCUACCUAUAAGACUGGGAUAACUUCGGGAAACCGGAGCUAAUAUCGGAUAAUAUUUUGAACCGCAUGGUUCAAAAGUGAAAGACGGUCUUGCUGUCACUUAUAGAUGGAUCCGCGCUGCAUUAGCUAGUUGGUAAGGUAACGGCUUACCAAGGCAACGAUGCAUAGCCGACCUGAGAGGGUGAUCGGCCACACUGGAACUGAGACACGGUCCAGACUCCUACGGGAGGCAGCAGUAGGGAAUCUUCCGCAAAGGGCGAAAGCCUGACGGAGCAACGCCGCGUGAGUGAUGAAGGUCUUCGGAUCGUAAAACUCUGUUAUUAGGGAAGAACAUAUGUGUAAGUAACUGUGCACAUCUUGACGGUACCUAAUCAGGAAGCCACGGCUAACUACGUG
rnacentral:rRNA from 1 species